rnacentral:siRNA from 1 species
GCUUUGCGGUUGUGUGCUGUGGCA